GUGCUCCCUUUCUCAACACAUAUACUAAAAUUGGAAUGAUACAGAGAAGAUUAGCAUAGCCCCCCUGCACAAAGAUAACACACAAAUUUAUGAAAUUUUAAAAAAAUGU
ensembl:snRNA U6 U6 spliceosomal RNA